rnacentral:rRNA from 1 species
AAAGGCGUGCGAUACAGGGUGACAGCCCCGUACACAAAAAUGCACAUAUUGUGAGCUCGAUGAGUAGGGCGGGACACGUGGUAUCCUGUCUGAAUAUGGGGGGACCAUCCUCCAAGGCUAAAUACUCCUGACUGACCGAUAGUGAACCAGUACCGUGAGGGAAAGGCGAAAAGAACCCCGGCGAGGGGAGUGAAAAAGAACCUGAAACCGUGUACGUACAAGCAGUGGGAGCCUCUUAAUGGGGUGACUGCGUACCUUUUGUAUAAUGGGUCAGCGACUUAUAUUCUGUAGCAAGGUUAACCGAAUAGGGGAGCCGAAGGGAAACCGAGUCUUAACUGGGCGUUAAGUUGCAGGGUAUAGACCCGAAACCCGGUGAUCUAGCCAUGGGCAGGUUGAAGGUUGGGUAACACUAACUGGAGGACCGAACCGACUAAUGUUGAAAAAUUAGCGGAUGACUUGUGGCUGGGGGUGAAAGGCCAAUCAAACCGGGAGAUAGCUGGUUCUCCCCGAAAGCUAUUUAGGUAGCGCCUCGUGAAUUCAUCUCCGGGGGUAGAGCACUGUUUCGGCAAGGGGGUCAUCCCGACUUACCAACCCGAUGCAAACUGCGAAUACCGGAGAAUGUUAUCACGGGAGACACACGGCGGGUGCUAACGUCCGUCGUGAAGAGGGAAACAACCCAGACCGCCAGCUAAGGUCCCAAAGUCAUGGUUAAGUGGGAAACGAUGUGGGAAGGCCCAGACAGCCAGGAUGUUGGCUUAGAAGCAGCCAUCAUUUAAAGAAAGCGUAAUAGCUCACUGGUCGAGUCGGCCUGCGCGGAAGAUGUAACGGGGCUAAACCAUGCACCGAAGCUGCGGCAGCGACACUAUGUGUUGUUGGGUAGGGGAGCGUUCUGUAAGCCUGUGAAGGUGGCCUGUGAGGGUUGCUGGAGGUAUCAGAAGUGCGAAUGCUGACAUAAGUAACGAUAAAGCGGGUGAAAAGCCCGCUCGCCGGAAGACCAAGGGUUCCUGUCCAACGUUAAUCGGGGCAGGGUGAGUCGACCCCUAAGGCGAGGCCGAAAGGCGUAGUCGAUGGGAAACAGGUUAAUAUUCCUGUACUUGGUGUUACUGCGAAGGGGGGACGGAGAAGGCUAUGUUGGCCGGGCGACGGUUGUCCCGGUUUAAGCGUGUAGGCUGGU